rnacentral:rRNA from 1 species
CUACGGGAGGCAGCAGUGGGGAAUAUUGGACAAUGGACCACAAGUCUGAUCCAGCAAUUCUGUGUGCACGAUGACGUUUUUCGGAAUGUAAAGUGCUUUCAGUCGGGAAGAAGCAAGUGACGGUACCGACAGAAGAAGCGACGGCUAAAUACGUGCCAGCAGCCGCGGUAAUACGUAUGUCGCAAGCGUUAUCCGGAUUUAUUGGGCGUAAAGCGCGUCUAGGCGGCGAGGAAAGUCUGAUGUGAAAAUGCGGGGCUCAACCCCGUAUUGUGUUGGAAACUGCCUUGCUAGAGUACUGGAGAGGUAGGCGGAACUACAAGUGUAGAGGUGAAAUUCGUAGAUAUUUGUAGGAAUGCCGAUGGGGAAGCCAGCCUACUGGACAGAUACUGACGCUAAAGCGCGAAAGCGUGGGUAGCAAACAGGAUUAGAUACCCCGGUAGUCC